GGCGAGUAGAGGCAACACCAACACUCCUCCUUAGCGAGGGGUCUCCCCGCCGCGGUGGCUGCCCGGCCCCAAGGACAGGAGGGAUUUGUGCACUGACUCCUGACCCCGUCCUCCAGCGCUGCUCUGAAGGGAGAGUCUGUGCAGUGGCACCUGCGCGAAGCUGGCCAAAGCCUGCCCAGACGGCUCACCUGUGCGGGAUGGAACAAAAGGGGUAUGGCACUGUCAGCGGAAGACUGUCAGAUCUCUGCAGCAUGACCCUCAUCCUUGUUCCCAACCUUUUCUGUCAGUCACUGUCUGCCUCCCUUUCUUUGGUUGGCUGCCCAUCAAUGACCUAUUAUCAUCAUUGCCAUAGAUCCCUGAGAAGCACUCCCCCUCCCACAGUUGCCAUUCCAAUCUUGCUACACAGUAUAAGAGCCCUCUUGGCUUCUGAGGGUUAAAUGUUGCCAUCCAGAAUGGUUAAAUGCCAUUCCAGAAUCGUGUCAUCCCCAAGACACUAAGGAGCCAAGUUCCAUGGCAGCAUCUCCUAGCCACAGAGCACAGCCACCACCAGCUUUCUAUGACACCAGUGCCCCCUCACGUCCACAUUCUGCAUUGCCUUAGUGAAGAGCGCCUCCUCUGGGCAGCUCCAUGAAACACCUUCUGGUCUCAUGUAAUAAAUCCGUUCUAACAUU
rnacentral:lncRNA from 1 species